GAUCCUGGCUCAGGAUGAACGCUAGCGGCAGGCUUAACACAUGCAAGUCGAGGGGCAGCGGGAUGUAGCAAUACAUUGCCGGCGACCGGCGGAUGGGUGCGUAACGCGUAUGCAACCUACCUUAUACAGGGGAAUAACCUUUCGAAAGGGAGACUAACACCCCAUAGUAUUGAUUUAAGGCAUCUUAGAUUAAUUAAAUAUUUAUAGGUAUAAGAUGGGCAUGCGUAUGAUUAGCUAGUUGGUAAGGUAACGGCUUACCAAGGCGACGAUCAUUAGGGGUUCUGAGAGGAAGGUCCCCCACACUGGUACUGAGACACGGACCAGACUCCUACGGGAGGCAGCAGUGAGGAAUAUUGGUCAAUGGGCGCAAGCCUGAACCAGCCAUGCCGCGUGCAGGAAAGACGGCCUUAUGGGUUGUAAACUGCUUUUACAUAAGACUAACCGUAUAUUUGCGAAUAUACCUGAAUGUAUUAUGAGAAUAAGGAUCGGCUAACUCCGUGCCAGCAGCCGC
rnacentral:rRNA from 1 species